rnacentral:rRNA from 1 species
AGAGUUUGAUCCUGGCUCAGAGUGAACGCUGGCGGCAGGCCUAACACAUGCAAGUCGAACGGCAGCACAGCAGUAGCAAUACUGUGGGUGGCGAGUGGCGGACGGGUGAGGAAUACAUGGGAAUCUGCCCUGUCGUGGGGGAUAACGUAGGGAAACUUACGCUAAUACCGCAUACGACCGGAAGGUGAAAGCGGCGGACCGCAAGGCGUCGCGCGACUGGAUGAGCCCAUGUCGGAUUAGCUAGUUGGCGGGGUAAAGGCCCACCAAGGCGACGAUCCGUAGCUGGUCUGAGAGGAUGAUCAGCCACACUGGAACUGAGACACGGUCCAGACUCCUACGGGAGGCAGCAGUGGGGAAUAUUGGACAAUGGGCGCAAGCCUGAUCCAGCCAUGCCGCGUGAGUGAAGAAGGCCUUCGGGUUGUAAAGCUCUUUUGUCCGGAAAGAAAAGCCUUCGGUUAAUACCCGGGGGUUCUGACGGUACCGGAAGAAUAAGCACCGGCUAACUUCGUGCCAGCAGCCGCGGUAAUACGAAGGGUGCAAGCGUUACUCGGAAUUACUGGGCGUAAAGCGUGCGUAGGUGGUUCGUUAAGUCUGAUGUGAAAGCCCUGGGCUCAACCUGGGAAUGGCAUUGGAAACUGGCGAUCUAGAGUGCGGUAGAGGGUAGUGGAAUUCCCGGUGUAGCAGUGAAAUGCGUAGAGAUCGGGAGGAACAUCUGU